GAUCUCCUUGUAAGUCCAUGCCUAUGAGUUAUCUUCACAGGACACAAAAGCAUUACACUGCUGCAAGACAAACAUGGCAACACACUGACCACUCCCAGUCAGCAAGACAUUUGCAGAGGGCAAACAGACAAGACAGAUUCUAGAGCACUUUAGAAAGAAAAAACUGGAAUCAGUGCUUGAUUUUUGACUGUGAAAAACUGACUGGUAGCGCUUAUCUGAAACAGCUCAGCUUGUCAAAAAGAUGGCUGGUUCUGUCAGUUUCUUACAAAAGAUGACAGUAAAAAGAUCUUCCCUGUGUGAUACAACAUUGUAGUGAAAGAAACUAUAAGAUUACCAUGGACUAAAGAGCAAAACUGUGGAAGCUCUCUCUCACUUGGAAAUAAAGC